ACACGGAGAGCUGCGGGCCCUGUCGUAAAAUGUACCCCCGUUAGUCAGACUGAGAAGGGAGACUCUGGGCCAGGAGGCCCGGGUUCAAGUCCCACUUGGCCCAGAGAUUGUAUCGUAACAUCUCUGAACAUGUUAAUUAGGAAAAUAUAUAUUCCCGUGCAGGGAAAAAGAACUCUUAAAGGGCUCUUGUGGCACAGCGGUGAUGUCCCUACCUCUGAUCCAGGAGAACCGGGUUCAAGUUGCAUGUGCUAGAAGUGUGCGGAAACAUCUCUCCGAACAGAUUGAUAUCUACAGCAAGGCAGGCAUCCUAUAAUCUUCUGGCUGUUGUUACUCCAGAAAACAUUGCCAAGUUGAGAGGACACCACCAUCCUGCAUUGCUGCCUUUGCUACUCUAUAGCUCAUUAGGUAAUGGGGUCAGUUAACUCAGUUGGCUGGACAGCUGGCUUGCGAUGCAGAGUGAUGCCAACACAUGGGCUUAAUUUCCACACCAUGAGGCAACCAUGAAGGACUUUCCUUCCUAACCUCUUCCAUCACCUGUUGUGAACUGACACUCAAGUUAAAUCAUCACCAGUUCUCUCUCUGAAAUGAGAGAGCAAUACUUUGAUCUAGUAAGUCUGUGAUGACUUUGCUUUAAAUUUAUACCUGAUCACAGGUAAAUAUGCAAGUGUGGCCCAACAGACCUUGUAGUCCAUUUAAUAGACUUAACUGGCCAAGCAUGUAGUCUUCUUUUGGCUUCUCGUUUAGAUGGGACAGCUGAAAUGAAGAACUACCUAUCGAUGAGAUCAAGGCAGUCUAAUUAUUCUUUUUAGUUUUCUAAUGGCUCUAUUUCUUAUUGUCCACUUUGGCAGAUAUCAUUUCUUAGUCCAGCAAAUGGGCAUUUGAGCUGUUCUCAAUAUACCAUUAAUGACAUGCUUCCAUUAAUUGCUAAAUGCAAAAGAAGUAUUUUUCCAUCCCUCAUUGUGAGGAGAUCUACUCUGAGUUUAACAUGAACAUCAAAAUGUACCACUUCUCUCCACUCCACGCCUAAGGAUCCUGAUUCUUUUAAAAAUCUAGUUCCAUAGAUAUAACAUGGCAUUGACAGCACCGGUCAAACAGGGUCAUGCUGAUUGUUUAUGCUGUAGAGAAGCUCUGUCCUAAUCCUUUUCAUCCAUUCUAACCCACCAGCAUUCUCUUCUAGGUACUUUAUCCUUUACAGUAUUUUACCCAAAUGGAUGUUCUUCAUGUGAAUGAAAGCAAAUGAGUUUUGGUAAGCUAUUUCAUCCUGUCCUCAUUUUAUAGCAUGCACCAUACAGCAGGAAAUCCUGAUCUUUCUCCCUUCUUUAACGUAAGAACGUAUGGAAUAGGAGCAGGAGUAGGUGAAAUCACAAUAAUAGCUGAUCUCUUACUUUCCUAAUCACCAACCUUUCCCCCUUAUCACUUGUUUUCCCGAGAGAGCAAAAAAUACGUUUAUCUCAUUUUUCACCCUGAAAUAGAUUCAAUGAAGUAGCAUCCGCAAACCCCUGGAAGAGAGAAUUGUAAAGAUUCACAACUUCUCAUCUCAGUUCUAAAUGAUUGCUUCCUUGUUCUAAGACUGUGCCCCUCUGUUCUACACAGCCAGGGGAAGCAACUUCUUAGUUUCUGCCUUUUCAAGUCCCUUCAGAAUCUUACAUGUUUCAAUGAGAUCACCUCUGAACUCCGAAGAAUAGAGACCUAAUUUACUCAGUCCCUCCCCAAAGGACAAACCCCUCAUCCCAAUCUACUGAACCUCCACUGUACUGCCUCCAGAGCAAGUAUAUUCUUCCUUAAGCAUGGAGAACAAAACUGCACACAGUACUCCGGGUGUAGUCCCAUCAAAGCUACAUACAGUAGUAAGACUUUUUUUUAAUUCUUGUAUUCCAGACCUCUUAUAAUUAAUACUAAUAUGCUAUUUUCCUUCCCAAUUGCUUGACGACUCCCGGCCUCCGGCAUCCACUCCCAGUGUGGCGGCAUCCCAUGGCGGUUUCUAGGUAUGGUGUGGCGCAGCCUCUCGGCAUGGUAUGGCGACAUCCCAAAGCGGCCUCCCGACAUGGCAUCCUCAGCUCAAUGUGGUGGUAUGGAGUGACCUCUCAGCUUCAUGAUCCUCAAGGUGAAGCCCAGUGCAGUCUGGAGGCUAGGUACCAGCAUGGUAUAGGUUGGAAGACUGCUGUUCUGGAUUUUAUUUCUGUGAUGCUGGACAUUUUAUUUCUCCAUUUUCUAAGAUCUUGUGACUAAAGAAUCUGUUCCUAGGUAUAAGAUGGCGCUGUAAGUGGCAACAUAUAAACAUUUCACUGUACUGAUUGAGUAAAUGUGACAAUAAAGCCAAUUAUGAUUGCUAA